AUGGCUAAAGGUGACCCCAAGAAACCAAAGGGCAAGAUGUCUGCUUAUGCCUUCUUUGUGCAGACGUGCAGAGAAGAACAUAAGAAGAAAAACCCAGAGGUCCCUGUCAAUUUUGCAGAAUUUUCCAAGAAAUGCUCUGAGAGGUGGAAGACAAUGUCCGGGAAAGAGAAAUCUAAAUUUGAUGAAAUGGCAAAGGCGGAUAAAUUUCAUACGGAUUUUAAAGAUGUGACUUACUUAACAGAAGAGAAGGUAUAUGAAAUUCUUGAAUUAUGCAGAGAAAGAAGAUUAUUCCCCUUUAAUUGGAGUUAUUGGGAGAGUUUUUUCUAAUGCUGAGGCAUUGGUACAGAGCUUCUAGAAAGUUACACGGCAUACCAAGGAAGAACUGAAAUCUCUUCAAGCAAAGGAUUAAGGCAGGGAUGAAGAUGAAAAGGAAAAAUCUGCAUGUUCUCCUACUGCUAUGGAAGAAGACUCAGAAGCAUCUUCAAAGGUGGGUGAUAGCUCACAGGGAGACAGUUUGCAGACAUUAGGCCCUGAUGAUGUGUCUGUGGAUGUUGAUGCCAUUAGAAGAGUCUACACCAGAUUGCUCUCUAAGGAAAAAAUGGAAACUGCCUUUCUCAAUGCACUCAUAUAUUUGUUACCUAACGUGGAAUGUGACUUGAUGUAUCACAACGUAUGCUCUUGAGAUCCUAAUUAUCUGCAUUUGUUCAUUAGCGUAAUGGAGAAUAGAAAUCUCCACAGUCCUGAAUAUCUGGAAAUGGCUUUGCCAUUAUUUUGCAAAGCAAUGAGAAAGCUACCCCUUGUAGCCCAAGGAAAACUGAUGAGACUGUGGUCUAAAUACAAUGCAGACCAGAUUCGGAGAAUGAUGGAGACAUUUCAGCAAUUUAUUAUUUAUAAAGUCAUGAGCAAUGAAUUUAACAGUUGAAAUCUAGUGAACAAUGAUGAUGCCAUUAUUGCUGCUUCCAAGUGCUUGAAAAUGGUUUACUAUACAAAUGUAGUGGGAGGGGAAGUGGACACAAAUCACACUGAAGAAGAUGAUGAAGAGCCCAUCCCUGAGUCCAGUGAGCUGACACUUCAGGAACUUUUGGGAAAAGAAAGAAGAAACAAGAAAGGUUCUUGAGACCCCCUGGAAACUGAACUUGGUGUUAAAACAUUGGAUUGUCAAAAACCACUUAUCCUCUUUUGAAGAGUUUACUGAUGAACCACGGCAUUAGGUUCUAGAAAUGGAUAAAGAUUAUACUUUUUUUAAAAGUAGAAACAAAUUCUCUUUUAUGAUAUGUCCCUUUAUAUUGUAUGCUGUCACAAAGAAUUUGGAAUUGUAUUAUGACAAUAGAAUUUGCAUGUACAGUGAAUGAAGAAUCACUGUUCUCUCCAGCUUAGCUCAAGGACAGCAGUUGAAUCCAUAUUUGAGACUCAAAGUUAGACGUGACCAUAUCAUAGAUGAUGCACUUGCCCGGCUAGAGAUGAUUACUGCGGAAAAUCCUGCAGACUUGAAGAAGAAGUUGUUUGUGGAAUUUGAAGGAGAACAAGGAGUUGAUGAGGGAGGCGUUUCCAAAGAAUUUUUUCAGUUGGUUGUGGAGGAAAUCUGCAAUCCAGAUAUUGGUAUGUUCACAUAAGAAGAAUCUACAAAAUUGUUUUGGUUUAAUCCAUCUUCUUUUGAAACUGAGGGUCAGUUUAUGCUGAUUGGCAUAGUACCAAGUCUGGCUAUUUACAAUAACUGUAUACUGGAUGUACAUUUUCCCAUGAUUGUCUACAGAAAGCUAGUGGGGAAAAAAAGGAAAUUUUUGUGACUUGGUAGACUCUUACCAAGUUUCAUAUCAGAGUUUAAAAGAUUUCUUGGAGUAUGAAGGGAGUAUGGACGAUGACAUGAUGAUCAUUUUCCAGAUAUCACAGACAGAUCUUUUUGGUAACCCAGUGAUGUAUGAUCUAAAGGAAAAUGGUGAUAAAAUUCCAAUUACAAAUGAAAACAGGAAGGAAUUUGUCAGUCUUUAUUCUGACUACAUUCUCAAUAAAUCAGUAGAAAAACAGUUCAAGGCCCUUCGGAGAGGUUUUCAUAUGGUGACCAGUGAAUCUCCCUUAAAGUACUUAUUCAGAACAGAAGACAUUGAAUUGCUUAUAUGUGGAAGCCAGAAUCUAGAUUUCAAAGCACUAGAAGAAACCACAGAAUAUGAUGGUGGCUAUACCAGGGACUCUGUUCUGAUUCAGGAGCUCUGGGAAAUCGUUCAUUCAUUUACAGAUGAACAGAAAAGACUCUUCUUGCAGUUUACAAUGGGCACAAACAGAGCAUCUGUGGGAGGACUAGGAAAAUUAAAGAUGAUUAUAGCCAAAAAUGGCCCAGACACAGAAAGGUUACCUACAUCUCAUAGUUGCUUUAAUGUGCUUUUACUUCCAGAAUAUUCAAGCAAAGAAAAACUUAAAGAGAGAUUGUUGAAGGCCAUCAUGCAUGCUAAAGGAUUUGGCAUGCUAUAAAACAAAACAAAACAAAUAAAAAAGGGAAG